CCGAGUUAUCAACUCCCAAACCCCUGUGAACAUACCCGAACGUUGCCUCGGCGGGACCGCCCCGGCGCCCACAGCGGCCCGGAACCAGGCGCCCGCCGGAGGACCCAAACUCUUGCUUUGAACAGUGGCAUACUCUCUGAGUCUCACAAACAAAAAAUAAAUCA
rnacentral:misc_RNA from 1 species